ACUCCUACGGGAGGCAGCAGUAGGGAAUAUUGGACAAUGGGCGAAAGCCUGAUCCAGCAAUGCCGCGUGAGUGAUGAAGGCCUAUGGGUCGUAAAGCUCUGUCGUAUAGGAAUAAAUGCCUGUGGUUAAUACCCGCAGGAGCUGAAGGUACUAUACAAGAAAGCACCGGCUAACUACGUGCCAGCAGCCGCGGUAAUACGUAGGGUGCUAGCGUUGUUCGGAAUUACUGGGCGUAAAGCGCAUGUAGGCGGGAGGCUAAGUCAGAUGUGAAAGCCCUGGGCUCAACCUGGGACGUGCAUCUGAUACUGGUCUUCUUGAGUACAGGAGAGGGUAGUGGAAUUUCUGGUGUAGUGGUGAAAUACGUAGAUAUCAGAAGGAACAUCGGUGGCGAAGGCGGCUGCCUGGCCUUGUACUGACGUUGAGAUGCGAAAGCGUGGGUAGCAAACAGGAUUAGAUACCCUGGUAGCGAGUAG
rnacentral:rRNA from 1 species